rnacentral:rRNA from 1 species
AUUGAACGCUGGCGGCAUGCCUUACACAUGCAAGUCGAACGGCAGCGGACCUUCGGGUGCCGGCGAGUGGCGAACGGGUGAGUAAAGUAUCGGAACGUACCUUUCAGUGGGGGAUAACGUAGCGAAAGUUACGCUAAUACCGCAUAUUCUGUGAGCAGGAAAGCAGGGGAUCGCAAGACCUUGCGCUGAUUGAGCGGCCGAUAUCAGAUUAGCUAGUUGGUGAGGUAAAGGCUCAACAAGGCGACGAUCUGUAGCGGGUCUGAGAGGAUGAUCCGCCAAACUGGAACUGAGACACGGUCCAGACUCCUACGGGAGGCAGCAGUGGGGAAUUUUGGACAAUGGGGGCAACCCUGAUCCAGCCAUGCCGCGUGAGUGAAGAAGGCCUUCGGGUUGUAAAGCUCUUUCGUCCGGGAAGAAAUCGCAUCAGCUAAUACCUGGUGUGGAUGACGGUACCGGAAUAAGAAGCACCGGCUAACUACGUGCCAGCAGCCGCAGUAAAAC